rnacentral:rRNA from 1 species
AAUAAAAAAUUUACUUUUUAUUAUUUGUUUAAUUUAAUUUAAUAAAAAUAAUUUUAUUUGGAAAAAUUUUUAGUAUAGUUUAUUGAAAAAAUUUAUUAUAGUUAUAGUUUAUUUAGUAUUGUAAAAGAUAAUUGAAAUAUAUAUUUAUUAUUAAAAAGUAGAAUUAAUUUUUUGUACCUUGUGUAUCAGGGUUUAUUAAAUAAAAAUUAUUUAUUUUAAUUUUCUCGAGUUUAAGAGAGUUAAUAAAUUAUUUUUUUUAUUGUAAAAAAAAUAUUUAUAAUAAUUUAUUAGUAAUGAAAUGUUAUUCGUUCUUAAAGAUAUCUAGUUUAUUUAGAAAUGAAUUGAAUUCAAAUAUUUAUUUUUAAUAAUCUAAUUUAUUAGAUUAUUAAAAUUAAAUAUUAAUAAUUAAAGGGAUUAGCUUUUAAUUAAAAAUUUAAAAAUUAAUAAAAUUUUUAAAAAAUGUAAGUUUAGAAAUAGCUAUCAAUAAUAAUUUGUUAUAAUUAAUUUAUUUAAAAAUAUUAUUUUAUAUAAUUUUAAAUUUUUUAUAAAUAAAUAAAUUUUAAUUAAAAAAAUUUAGUUAUAAUGAUAAAAUUAGUAUAUAUUUUAAAUGUUUAAAUAAUAUAAUUUAAAAGAUUAUUUAAAGGAAUUCGGCAAAAAUUUUACUCGCCUGUUUAACAAAAACAUGUCCUUUUGAGUUUAUAUUUAAGGUCUAACCUGCCCACUGAAAAAUUUUAAAUGGCCGCAGUAAUUUGACUGUGCAAAGGUAGCAUAAUCAUUAGUUUUUUAAUUAAAAGCUUGUAUGAAAGGUUGGACGAGGUAAAAUCUGUCUCUAUUUAAAUUAAAAUAGAAUUUAAUUUUUAAGUUAAAAAGCUUAAAUAUUAUUAAAAGACGAGAAGACCCUAUAGAGCUUUAUAAUUUUUAAAGUAAAAUUUAUAAAGAAUAGUUUACGUUUUAUUUUAAUAAAUUAUUUUAUUGGGGUAAUAGAAAGAUUAAAUAAAUUCUUUUUGAAUAUUAACAUUGAUUUAUGAUUUAUAUGAUCCAAUUUUAUUGAUUAUAAGAUUAAGUUACCUUAGGGAUAACAGCGUAAUUUUUUUAAAGAGUUCAUAUCGAUAAAAAAGUUUGCGACCUCGAUGUUGGAUUAAAAAUUAUUUUAGGUGUAGAAGCUUAAAAUUUUGGUCUGUUCGACCAUUAAAUUUUUACAUGAUCUGAGUUCAGACCGGCGUAAGCCAGGUCGGUUUCUAUCUUUAGUAAAAUAAAAUAUUUUAGUACGAAAGGACCAAAUAUUUAAUAUAUUUAUAUUUAAUUUUUUGAAUAUUAUUAA